CGACGGAUCAAGCGAUUCGGCCGAUGAGGGAUCGAAUCAGCCGGGUUCAAAAACCUCCAUAGUAAAUUCGCUUCGACGGGAUAAGCCGAAUGGAGAGAGGAAGCCCAGAAUUCGACUAAGAAAUGAGCCGAAUGGCUAAACAACUUGUGAUCUGAUCGACAGUAAGAGCCGAAGAUGGCUUUCUAUUGAAUAGCAAAUGGGAAAAAGUACACGAGCAGGAGAGUGAUACCCGUAGAGCAGACAUACUCCAAGUAUGGGGACAAGGGAGUGAUGCCCGUAGGGCAGACAGACUCUGAGUAUGCUAAAUUACAGGAACUACUCCUAGGGAAAGCGGUAAAUGCGAGAAUAGAAAGAUGCAGGAAAAUAAAGGUGAUCUUUUGUGCGCAGGGGCGAAGACCCUUUUUCAGGGUAUCGUAUGUCUAUUUAUAGAACCGCCUUUGCGUCAGUUAUUGCUCUUGCACGAUCAGCCACUAUCUCCUGAUUCGCAGGACCACCUUCGGCCGAUCGGAACCGCUCGUAACUGCUUGCGGUUGUUAUAACUCCUCGGUCCAGUGCGGCUCGUAUGCGUCCGGUGUACUCUAGGUCUACCAUUUUAGCCGUCUUACAGAUAUGGACCCGGCGAACCAGCUGUUCGCGCCUAACUGGCUCAACAAUCA
rnacentral:lncRNA from 1 species